rnacentral:rRNA from 1 species
AGGGGGUAUUGCACCUACCGAAGACUAUCAAACUCCGAAUGCCGUCAUCUUAUACUUGGGAGUCAGACUGUGGGUGAUAAGAUUCAUAGUCGAAAGGGCAACAGCCCAGAUCGUCAGCUAAGGUCCCUAAAUGUAAGUUAAGUGGUAAAGGAUGUGGGAUUGCACAGACAACCAGGAUGUUGGCUUAGAAGCAGCCACUCAUUCAAAGAGUGCGUAAUAGCUCACUGGUCGAGUGAUCCUGCGCCGAAGAUUUCCGGGGCUAAAACUUACUACCGAAGCUACGGCAUCAGUAAUGAUGGGUAGGGGAGCUUCCCAUACGGGUUGAAGCAUGACCGUAAGGACAUGUGGACAGUAUGGGAGUGAGAAUGUUGGCAUGAGUAGCGAGAUGUGGGUGAGAAUCCCACAGGCCGUAAACCCAAGGUUUCCAGGGGAAGGUUCGUCCGCCCUGGGUUAGUCGGGACCUAAGCUGAGGCCGAAAGGCGUAGGUGAUGGACAACAGGUUGAUAUUCCUGUACUACCGAUAACCGUUUGAGAGAAGGGAUGACACAGUAGGAUAAGCUAAGCACACUGUUGGUUAUGUGUGCCCAAGCAUUGAGGCAGUCAAAGUAGGCAAAUCCGCUUUGAUAAUGCUGGGAUGUGAUGGGGAGCGAAAUUUAGUAGCGAAGUAGCUGAUUUCACACUGUCAAGAAAAGUCUCUAUCGAGGUUAAAGGUACCCGUACCGCAAACCGACACAGGUGGGUGAGGAGAGUAUCCUAAGGCCAGCGAGAGAACUGUUGUUAAGGAACUCGGCAAAAUGACCCCGUAACUUAGGGAUAAGGGGUGCCACCAUCAGGUGGCCGCAGAGAAUAGGCCCAAGCGACUGUUUACCAAAAACAUAGGUUUCUGCUAAGUCGCAAGACGAUGUAUAGGAGCUGACGCCUGCCCGGUGCUGGAAGGUUAAGGGGAUCUGUUAGAGCAAUCGAAGCAGUGAACUUAAGCCCCAGUAAACGGCGGCCGUAACUAUAACGGUCCUAAGGUAGCGAAAUUCCUUGUCGGGUAAGUUCCGACCCGCACGAAAGGCGUAACGAUUUGGGCACUGUCUCAACAACAGACUCGGUGAAAUUGUAAUUCCGGUGAAGAUGCCGGAUACCUGCGACAGGACGGAAAGACCCCAUGGAGCUUUACUGUAGCUUGACAUUGGGUCUUGGUACUACAUGUACAGGAUAGGUGGGAGGCUUUGAAACCAGGACGCCAGUUUUGGCGGAGCCAUCCUUGGGAUACCACCCUUGUAGUACUGGGACUCUAACCAUAGGCCAUGAAUCUGGUCUUGGGACACUGUCAGGUGGGCAGUUUGACUGGGGCGGUCGCCUCCCAAAAGGUAACGGAGGCGCUCAAAGGUUCUCUCAGUACGGUCGGAAAUCGUACGUAGAGUGUAAAGGCAAAAGAGAGCUUGAUUGCAAGACAUACAGGUCGAGCAAGGAUGAAAAUCGGACUUAGUGAUCCGGUGGUUCUGCGUGGAAGGGCCAUCGCUCAACGGAUAAAAGCUACCCUGGGGAUAACAGGCUUAUCUCCCCCAAGAGUCCACAUCGACGGGGAGGUUUGGCACCUCGAUGUCGGCUCAUCACAUCCUGGGGCUGUAGUAGGUCCCAAGGGUUGGGCUGUUCGCCCAUUAAAGUGGUACGCGAGCUGGG